rnacentral:rRNA from 1 species
AGUCGAGCGGAUGACAGGAGCUUGCUCCUGGAUUCAGCGGCGGACGGGUGAGUAAUGCCUAGGAAUCUGCCUGGUAGUGGGGGACAACGUUUCGAAAGGAACGCUAAUACCGCAUACGUCCUACGGGAGAAAGCAGGGGACCUUCGGGCCUUGCGCUAUCAGAUGAGCCUAGGUCGGAUUAGCUUGUUGGUGAGGUAAUGGCUCACCAAGGCGACGAUCCGUAACUGGUCUGAGAGGAUGAUCAGUCACACUGGAACUGAGACACGGUCCAGACUCCUACGGGAGGCAGCAGUGGGGAAUAUUGGACAAUGGGCGAAAGCCUGAUCCAGCCAUGCCGCGUGUGUGAAGAAGGUCUUCGGAUUGUAAAGCACUUUAAGUUGGGAGGAAGGGUUGUAGAUUAAUACUCUGCAAUUUUGACGUUACCGACAGAAUAAGC